CCAUCUCACGCUUCUUUAAGGCCUUUGACCUUCCCAUGCUGCACGGUUAGGUUAAUGUCUGACUGAAGAGAAGAGGACUUAAUGUACAGGGCCUGUUGUCACUGCUUGCAGUUUUGCUCCUCAGAAGAUGUCCCGGAGGGCCAGUCUGAUUCCUCCUGAACAUUAUCCACAAUGCUCUCUGCUCCCCAAGCUGCUGUAGAACAGGGGUUGCUGGUGUCUGUGACCCAUCCUGCCUUCUCAGCUUUACUCUUAAGGAACAUUCUCAGAGCCACAGCCUCAUAGCCUGCCUAGCAACUGAGUUUGUCUUAAUUCACACCCAUUCCCUCCUCCAUUCAUUCAUUCAAAAAUGUUAUGAAAUGCCCACUGUAUACACAUCAGUGUGCACGGUGCCCAUCCUUGGAAAAGGCUCAAAUAGGGAUGGUGUGGAAGUCCGUGAGACAUGCUCAGUUGAAUCAUGGCAGUGAACUCAUACCUUCUCCCCUCUUCCCAGAAACAUCUUCAGACCAGCAUUCUUUGUUCUCCACUCUCAUGGCAUCUGUGGGCUUGGGUGAGCCACGUCUUUGCUGGGAAGAUCCCAUUUGGCAGGUCAGGAUUUUUGCUGUCAGUGUUAUUGCCCUGAAACAUGUUCUGUUUAAGGAACUGUACAUGCUCAUUUGCGUCAGCUGACUGCUUAACACACCCAUGCGCGCUUCGUGGACAUAGCCAGCACUGUGCUGAGCUCAGGCAGAGCCAGUUGAAUGUCUCGGCAUUUUGCAGACUUUCCCCCAGGUGUAGAGGACAGCUACCAGACAUAGUCAAGCUCUAC
rnacentral:lncRNA from 1 species